rnacentral:rRNA from 1 species
ACUCCUACGGGAGGCAGCAGUGGGGAAUAUUGGACAAUGGGCGAAAGCCUGAUCCAGCCAUGCCGCGUGUGUGAAGAAGGUCUUCGGAUUGUAAAGCACUUUAAGUUGGGAGGAAGGGCAGUUACCUAAUACGUGAUUGUUUUGACGUUACCGACAGAAUAAGCACCGGCUAACUCUGUGCCAGCAGCCGCGGUAAUACAGAGGGUGCAAGCGUUAAUCGGAAUUACUGGGCGUAAAGCGCGCGUAGGUGGUUAGUUAAGUUGGAUGUGAAAUCCCCCGGGCUCAACCUGGGAACUGCAUUCAAAACUGACUGACUAGAGUAUGGUAGAGGGUGGUGGAAUUUCCUGUGUAGCGGUGAAAUGCGUAGAUAUAGGAAGGAACACCAGUGGCGAAGGCGACCACCUGGACUGAUACUGACACUGAGGUGCGAAAGCGUGGGAGCAAACAGGAUUAGAUACCCCUGGUAGCGACUGA